UACCAGCUCCUCGAGUGGUCGGGGCGAUUAUUGGGCCUAAAGCAUCCGUAGCCGGUUCCGUAGGUCCUCUGUUAAAUCCAACCGCUUAACGGUUGACCUGCAGAGGAUACCGCGGGACUAGGAGGCGGGAGAGGCGGACGGUACUCCGCGUGUAGGGGUAAAAUCCUUUGAUCCGCGGAAGACCACCAGUGGCGAAGGCGGUCCGCCAGAACGCGCUCGACGGUGAGGGAUGAAAGCUGGGGGAGCGAACCG
rnacentral:rRNA from 1 species